rnacentral:piRNA from 1 species
UGCUACAAAAACUAGCCAACGAUGGAAGC